UAAUACGUAGGCAGCGAGCGUUGUUCGGAGUUACUGGGCGUAAAGAGUGCGUAGGCGGUUUUCUAAGUUUGGUGUGAAAUCUCCCGGCUUAACUGGGAGGGUGCGCCGAAGACUGGAAGGCUUGAGUAUGGGAGAGGUAAGCGGAAUUCCUGGUGUAGCGGUGAAAUGCGUAGAUAUCAGGAGGAACACCUGCGGUGUAGACGGCUUACUGGACCAUAACUGACGCUGAGGCACGAAAGCGUGGGUAGCAAACAGGAUUAGAUACCCCGGUAGUCCUGGCCCUAAACGAUGAAUGCUUGGUGUGGCGGGUAUCGAUCCCUGCCGUGCCGAAGCUAACGCAUUAAGCAUUCCGCCUGGGGAGUACGGUCGCAAGGCUG
rnacentral:rRNA from 1 species